GUAGGUGGCAAGCGUUGUCCGGAAUUAUUGGGCGUAAAGCGCGCGCAGGUGGUUCUUUAAGUCUGAUGUGAAAGCCCCCGGGCUCAACCGGGGAGGGUCAUUGGAAACUGGGGAACUUGAGUGCAGGAGAGGAAAGUGGAAUUCCACGUGUAGCGGUGAAAUGCUUAGAUAUGUGGAGGAACACCAGUGGCGAAGGCGACUUUCUGGCCUGUAACUGACACUGAGGCGCGAAAGCGUGGGGAGCAAACAGGAUUAGAUACCCUGGUAGUCCACGCCGUAAACGAUGAGUGCUAAGUGUUGGGGGGUUUCCGCCCCUCAGUGCUGCAGCUAACGCAUUAAGCACUCCGCCUGGGGAGUACGGCCGCAAAGACUG
rnacentral:rRNA from 1 species